CCUUAAUUUCAAAACCUUGUUAUCUGUUACAUAAAAGACCAUAAUCUGCUAAAACAAAAGGAACUAGUUUAAACAAAAAUGAUUUCCCAAAGACGUGCUCUUAGUUUCUUACAGUAAACAUAUUGUAUACAAGACAGAACAUUAACACUUGGUGUACAGACUAGAAGGAACUUUAGCUCAAACUUGUAUAAUAAUUGUAUGAAUAAUUACAAGCAGAAGAAAAAUCAUCUUUCGAAGAGAUCCUCAUAAGAGCCAGGGGAUGUCAUCAGCUUUGGAAGUAUAUUGUCCUGAAGGCCAAAUCAACCAAGUUAGUGCCGAAUGUGACAUAUAGCAUUCAAAAGUACUAGAUUUAACUAUACAGAAAUGGAAUUUAUAAGGAUGCAUUGCACCAUCACCACAUCACAAGAACAGAGAGUCAAGAUAUAGCCAAAGGUUAAUUGUUAUAGGCAAACACGAUAGCUCAUAUAUUGCCCUUUUCUGUUGCAGGCAAGUAAAUACACAUCUAUACCUUAUACAAACACAGUGAACCGAAAACUACGUGUUCAUCAUAACAUGGAUAAAUUUGAUUCUAAAGGAGUAUAGCAGCAACCUCAGAUUUCUAAAAGAAUGUUAAUCUCUUUUCAAUAGCUUGCAAUAAUAAACUAAAGAAAUCAUAAUCAAAUUGCCUCUACAAAGAAAAUACAAUAAAAUUUAUGCACUCCCAUAAUUUAUGCAAAAUGGCAUUCCCAUCAUGAAGAUAACUUGUCAUAUUUAUGCACUCACGUUUGACAUCUUCACCAGAACAAAGUUAACUGCAGUUAUUAGUAAUGCACAAAUCAUGGUCUUCUCAUCAAAAUAAAAAUUAUCAAACAAUCCAGAAUACCACAAGUGCACAACUUAAAUUCCAAAUAUUGAGUAAUAAUUAGUUUUAAAACACUUGAACAUCUUUGAGACAAUUUAUCAAACACCACAAGUGCACAACUUAAAUUCCAGAAUACCAUAAAUGUUUAUGCAUGAUUCUAGCCAAAAAAGUUAUCACCAGAGGGGCAGCACCGCAGCAGGCCAGCAGCAGGCUUACAAUAUACAGCUCAAUCACAUUCAGUUGAUUUCUAUUCAUUCAUUACCAAAGUUUUUCUAUUUUCAAUACCACAUUUAGUUGGCACCCAAAUGAACAACAUUCACAAUAUAAAGUUACAUCAUGAGAAAUAUGAGAAUCUGAGCUUAGCAUAAGAGAAAGAUUAAAUGGGUUUUGUGAAGCAAACAGGGAGAAGAAGAGUAUCAUCGAAAAAAUGGGUUUCAAAUUCUUGAAAUCAGUUUUAGGGCAUAAAUAUAUACAUAUAUAUGUACAUCAUAUAUACAAUAUGUGUAUGAAUACCUCUCUUGGUGCUGAUUUUGCUGGAUUUUGCUUCUGAUUUUGGGCCCUGUAUUUUUGUAGAUGGCGACUUUGGUGAGAAAAGGAGAGAGAGAGAGUGAUAUUGGUUACAGCGAGAGAGAGAGAGGUGAAGUCUGAUAUUGGUAAAAGAGAGAGAGGUGAAGUCUGACU
rnacentral:lncRNA from 1 species